UGGAAAAUUAUGCCGAUAAACAGGAUGGAAUUUGGGAAAAAAUGUUAUAAAUCGAGUGGCUCAUUUACGAUGAGCUCCAAACAUUUGGCGAACUUUUUUUCGUCUUUUCAACGUGCUAAGUAACAAGUUAAGAUGACUGCCAUCAUGGGCCGGUAAGAAACCGCAAGCAAAGGGCACUCAACCUUCCAGGAAGCUCCUCCUGUCCCCGAGCCGAAGCUGCAGGUCAGCAAAUUGCUACCCUGAUCAAACGUAAACUAAAGCGCUCUGCUGUGAUUGCACUCCGUAAAUGUGAAAACUUGGUGCAUGCUGAGAAAUAUCAAACAAGAAAACUCCGUGAUGGACGCCGUGAGAUGGUGUAACGCUGUGUGGCAAAGAAAUGCGGCCAAUUCGACGGGCCUGAAAAACCCAACUGGGCUUUUGUAAUCCGCAUCCGCGGUAUCAACAAAGUUGCACAAAAAGUGCGAA